rnacentral:rRNA from 1 species
GACCUCGAUCAUGCUGCACGAAGCCC